UGUCCCAUAAAUCGAGACUAGUAUGAAUGGCUAAACGAGGUCUUAACUGUCUCUUACAGGCAAUCGGUGAAAUUGAUCUCCCUGUGCAAAAGCAGGGAUAAACCCAUAAGACGAGAAGACCCUGUGGAACUUUAAAAACAGCAGCCACCUUAAAACACAUAAACACCCACCGGGUUCACUCAAAUACAAGUACUGGCCUGCAUUUUUUCGGUUGGGGCGACCUUGGAGAAAAACAAAUCCUCCAAAAAUUAGACCACACAUCUAGACUAAGAGAGACAUCUCAACGUGCUAAUAGCAUCCAGACCCAAUAUAAUUGAUCAAUGAACCAAGCUACCCCAGGGAUAACAGCGCAAUCUCCUUCGAGAGUCCAUAUCGACAAGGAGGUUUACGACCUCGAUGUUGGAUCAGGACAUCCUAGUGGUGCAGCAGCUACUAAGGGCUCGUUUGUUCAACGAUUAAUAGU
rnacentral:rRNA from 1 species